AUAUGAGUUUGUAUGCUCACUCUUUACUGGGUGUGUUAUACACAACUUCUAUUGUAAACGUUGAACUAGAUCAUUGGUGUGUGGAUUGUGUUUAUCUCUUCUUUUUGAUUGGGUAGGCAUAUCCCACACUGAUAACCUAUAUUUAAUAUAUACAAACAAUAUAUACUACCAAACAAACAAAAAUAAAUCUUAAUAGGACUUAUAAACAGUUGAGUGGGUAAAAGCCUCGACUAAAAAUAUAACAAAAUACAACUUUCAGCAAUGGAUCUCUAGGCUCUCGCAUCGAUGAAGAACGCAGCGAAUUGCGAAACGUAAUGUGACUUGCAACCCUCGUGAAUCAUCGAAUCUUUGAACGCAUCUUGCACUAUUCGGCUUCCCCGGAUAGUAUGCCUGGUUGAGUGUCUGUGUAUCUCUCCUAAUUCAACAUUUGUUUGUUGGAAUAGGGACUUGGGGUCUUUCUCGUCAGCAAUAACUCUGUUAUUAAUGGUGAACCCUUUAAAUAUAGCAAGCUCCCAUCUUUUAUCGGAAAUACGCAAACUUGGGGAUGGCGUCGUAGCAAUCACUCUUAUCAGUAUUGUCGAAGCGCCUAUAUCAUACCUCUAAUCUGCGGUGCUAAUCCUUUUUCGGUGGGCGAAGCUUGGCGACUGGCAAAGUGCCAUGCUCCCUUA
rnacentral:rRNA from 1 species